rnacentral:rRNA from 1 species
GCAUGCGGGUGGGACAUGAGAUCUUAGCUGGCGCAAGCCUACGCGAUAAGUCGACCGCCUGGGGAGUACGGCCGCAAGGUUAAAACUCAAAUGAAUUGACGGGGGCCCGCACAAGCGGUGGAGCAUGUGGUUUAAUUCGAAGCAACGCGAAGAACCUUACCUGGCCUUGACAUGCUGAGAACUUUCCAGAGAUGGAUUGGUGCCUUCGGGAACUCAGACACAGGUGGUGGAUGGCUGUCAA